GAUGAACGCUGGCGGCGUGCCUAAUACAUGCAAGUCGAGCGAACGUACGAGAAUCUUGCUUCUCUGAUGUUAGCGGCGUACGUGUGAGUAACACGUGCUUCACCUACCUUUAAGAUUGGCAUAACUUCGCGAAACCGGUGCUAAUUCCGGAUAAUAUUUUGAACCGCAUGGUUCAAAAGUUAUAUACGUUCUUGCUGUCACUUAUAGCUGUAUCCGGGUUGCAUUAGCUAUUUGGUAAGGUAACGGCUUACCAAGGCAACGAUGCAUAGCGGACCUGAGAGGGUGAUCGGCCGCGAUGGAAAUGAGACACGGUCGAGACGACAAAGGGAGGAAGCAGUAGGGAAUGUUAGGAAAUGGGCGAAAGGCUGACGGAGCAAAAGCGCGAGGGUGAGGAAGGUCGUGGGAGAGGAAAACUCUGUUAUUAGGGAAGAACAUAUGUGGAAGUAAAGGUGCACAGGUUGACGGUACCUGAACAGAAAGCGACGGCUAACUACGUG
rnacentral:rRNA from 1 species